UCUGUCUUCUCUGCUCAUUAAUUUGCAGGUGUUCUCCGACUCCAUCGGUCUCUCUCUAAUACACGUCACUAACUAUUUUCAGCGAGAGGUUAAAAAUGGUAAUUAAUUGUAGUUAAAUUAAGCAAUCCAAAAUUAGAGCCGGAUUCUAUUUCUAUGGAAUGUUAGAUAGAAUAGGGAAAGAAUUGCCGUGCAAACUUGAGAGUGCCAUUUAUCACCUGAGGAUUAAAGGGUUCCACUGCAAACUAGAAACCCAGCUGAAUAUUGAAAGAUGUCCGUCAAUGCAGAUACAGAUUCACCAGAAUAUUGAAACAUCAGACUGGCAAUUUUAAACAUCAGAUGAAGGGUGCAGCUACUACAUUCCGUAAUGAACAUGAUCCAUUUGAUUUUAUAAGAUUUUUAUAUGAGGGUGCUGUAGCUGGAGCCACAGCUGGUGUUGUCGUUGAAUCUGUUCUGUACCCAAUUGACACCAUCAAAACAAGACUUCAAGCAGGCAGUUCAUGGUGGAGGAAAGAUCAUAUUAAGGGGUCUUUACUCCGGAUUGGCUGGAAAUCUUGUUGGGGUCUUACCGUAAGUACUUAUAACUGCAACUGCUGUUUUUCUUGUGCUCUACGAGAAACAGAUAGAUGAUAAUGUCAUACAAUGCAGUCUAAAGUUGAUUUGAGCAACCUUGAUUAUGUAGAUUGGGUAUAGAGGCUGCAAUUAUAUUGA